UAGAGGAGGCGGGUAGCCUAGUGGUUAGAGUGUAGAGGAGGCAGGUAGCCUAGUGGUUAGAGUGUAGAGGAGGUAGGUAGCCUAGUGGUUAGAGUGUAGAGGAGGCAGGUAGUCUAGUGGUUAGAGUGUAGAGGAGGCAGGUAGCCUAGUGGUUAGAGUGUAGAGGAGGCAGGUAGCCUAGUGGUUAGAGUGUAGAGGAGGCAGGUAGUCUAGUGGUUAGAGGCGGCAGGUAGUCUAGUGGUUAGAGUGUAGAGGUGGCAGGUAGUCUAGUGGUUAGAGUGUAGAGGUGGCAGGUAGUCUAGUGGUUAGAGUGUAGAGGUGGCAGGUAGUCUAGUGGUUAAAGUGUAGAGGAGGUAGGUAGUCUAGUGGUUAGAGUGUAGAGGAGGUAGGUAGCCUAGUGGUUAGAGUGUAGAGGAGGUAGGUAGUCUAGUGGUUAGAGUGUAGAGGAGGUAGGUAGUCUAGUGGUUAGAGUGUAGAGGAGGUAGGUAGUCUAGUGGUUAGAGUGUAGAGGAGGCAGGUAGACUAGUGGUUAGAGUGUAGAGGAGGUAGGUAGUCUAGUGGUUAGAGUGUAGAGGAGGCAGGUAGUCUAGUGGUUAGAGUGUAGAGGAGGCAGGUAGCCUAGUGGUUAGAGUGUAGAGGAGGCAGGUAGCCUAGUGGUUAGAGUGUAGAGGAGGCAGGUAGUCUAGUGGUUAGAGGCGGCAGGUAGUCUAGUGGUUAGAGUGUAGAGGUGGCAGGUAGUCUAGUGGUUAGAGUGUAGAGGAGGUAGGUAGCCUAGUGGUUAGAGUGUAGAGGAGGCAGGUAGCCUAGUGGUUAGAGUGUAGAGGAGGCAGGUAGACUAGUGGUUAGAGUGUAGAGGUGGCAGGUAGCCUAGUGGUUAGAGUGUAGAGGAGGUAGGUAGCCUAGUGGUUAGAGUGUAGAGGAGGUAGGUAGUCUAGUGGUUAGAGUGUAGAGGAGGCAGGUAGCCUAGUGGUUAGAGUGUAGAGGAGGCAGGUAGCCUAGUGGUUAGAGUGUAGAGGAGGUAGGUAGUCUAGUGGUUAGAGUGUAGAGGUGGCAGGUAGCCUAGUGGUUAGAGUGUAGAGGAGGUAGGUAGUCUAGUGGUUAGAGUGUAGAGGAGGCAGGUAGCCUAGUGGUUAGAGUGUAGAGGAGGCAGGUAGCCUAGUGGUUAGAGUGUAGAGGAGGCAGGUAGUCUAGUGGUUAGAGGCGGCAGGCAGUCUAGUGGUUAGAGUGUAGAGGUGGCAGGUAGUCUAGUGGUUAGAGUGUAGAGGAGGUAGGUAGCCUAGUGGUUAGAGUGUAGAGGAGGCAGGUAGCCUAGUGUUUAGAGUGUAGAGGAGGCAGGUAGACUAGUGGUUAGAGUGUAGAGGUGGCAGGUAGCCUAGUGGUUAGAGUGUAGAGGAGGUAGGUAGCCUAGUGGUUAGAGUGUAGAGGAGGUAGGUAGUCUAGUGGUUAGAGUGGUAUUAUAACACAGCAUCUUGGACACUUCAGAGCCCUGGUUCAGCAUCAUUAUAACACAGCAUCUUGGACACUUCAGAGCCCUGGUUGAGCAUCGUUAUAACACAGCAUCUUGGACACUUCAGAGCCCUGGUUCAGCAUCAUUACAGUACAGCAUCUUGGACACUUCAGAGCCCUGGUUCAGCAUCAUAACAGUACAGCAUCUUGGACACUUCAGAGCCCUGGUUCAGCAUCAUUAUAACACAGCAUCUUGGACACUUCAGAGCCCUGGUUCAGCAUCAUUAUAACACAGCAUCUUGGACACUUCAGAGCCCUGGUUGAGCAUCGUUAUAACACAGCAUCUUGGACACUUCAGAGCCCUGGUUCAGCAUCAUUAUAACACAGCAUCUUGGACACUUCAGAGCCCUGGUUCAGCAUCAUUAUAACACAGCAUCUUGGACACUUCAGAGCCCUGGUUCAGCAUCAUUAUAACACAGCAUCUUGGACACUUCAGAGCCCUGGCUCAGCAUCAUUAUAACACAGCAUCUUGGACACUUCAGAGCCCUGGUUCAGCAUCAUUAUAACACAGCAUCUUGGACACAUCAGAGCCCUGGUUCAGCAUCAUUAUAACACAGCAUCUUGGACACUUCAGAGCCCUGGUUCAGCAUCAUUAUAACACAGCAUCUUGGACACUUCAGAGCCCUGGUUCAGCAUCAUUACAGUACAGCAUCUUGGACACUUCAGAGCUCUGGUUCAGCAUCAUUAUAACACAGCAUCCUCAACACUUCAGAGCCCUGGUUCAGCAUCAUUAUAACACAGCAUCUUGGACACUUCAGAGCCCUGGUUCAGCAUCAUUAUAACACAGCAUCUUGAACACUUCAGAGCCCUGGUUCAGCAUCAUUAUAACACAGCAUCUUGGACACUUCAGAGCCCUGGUUCAGCAUCAUUACAGUACAGCAUCUUGGACACUUCAGAGCUCUGGUUCAGCAUCAUUAUAACACAGCAUCCUCAACACUUCAGAGCCCUGGUUCAGCAUCAUUAUAACACAGCAUCUUGGACACUUCAGAGCCCUGGUUCUGCAUCAUUAUAACACAGCAUCUUGAACACUUCAGAGCCCUGGUUCAGCAUCAUUAUAACACAGCAUCUUGGACACUUCAGAGCCCUGGUUCAGCAUCAUUACGGUACAGCAUCUUGGACACUUCAGAGCCCUGGUUCAGCAUCAUUAUAACACAGCAUCUUGGACACUUCAGAGCCCUGGCUCAGCAUCAUUACAGUACAGCAUCUUGGACACUUCAGAGCCCUGGUUGAGCAUCAUUACGGUACAGCAUCUUGGACACUUCAGAGCCCUGGUUCAGCAUCAUUAUAACACAGCAUCUUGGACACUUCAGAGCCCUGGUUCAGCAUCAUUAUAACACAGCAUCUUGGACACUUCAGAGCCCUGGUUGAGCAUCAUUACAGUACAGCAUCUUGGACACUUCAGAGCCCUGGUUCAGCAUCAUUACGGUACAGCAUCUUGGACACUUCAGAGCCCUGGUUGAGCAUCAUUACGGUACAGCAUCUUGGACACUUCAGAGCCCUGGUUGAGCAUCAUUACAGUACAGCAUCUUGGACACUUCAGAGCCCUGGUUCAGCAUCAUUACGGUACAGCAUCUUGGACACUUCAGAGCCCUGGUUCAGCAUCAUUAUAACACAGCAUCUUGGACACUUCAGAGCCCUGGUUCAGCAUCAUUACGGUACAGCAUCUUGGACACUUCAGAGCCCUGGUUCAGCAUCAUUACAGUACAGCAUCUUGGACACUUCAGAGCCCUGGUUCAGCAUCAUUACAGUACAGCAUCUUGGACACUUCAGAGCCCUGGUUCAGCAUCAUUACAGUACAGCAUCUUGGACACUUCAGAGCCCUGGUUCAGCAUCAUUACAGUACAGCAUCUUGGACACUUCAGAGCCCUGGCUCAGCAUCAUUACGGUACAGCAUCUUGGACACUUCAGAGCCCUGGUUCAGCAUCAUUACAGCACAGCAUCUUGGACACUUCAGAGCCCUGGCUCAGCAUCAUUACGGUACAGCAUCUUGGACACUUCAGAGCCCUGGCUCAGCAUCAUUACAGUACAGCAUCUUGGACACUUCAGAGCCCUGACUGAACUGGGAGAGAACUGGCAAAUCUGGUGCAGUCCAUGAGGAGGAGAUGCACUGCAGUACUUAAUGCAGCUGGUGGCCACAACAGAUACUGACUGUUACUUUUGAUUUUGACCUUCUCUUUUGUUCAGGGACACAUUUUUCUGUUAAGUCACAUGUCUGUGGAACAUGUUCAGUUUAUGUCUCUUGUUAUGUUCAUACAAAUAUUUACACAUGUUAAGUUUGCUGAAAAUAAACGUAGUUGACAGUGAGAGGAUGUUUCUUAUUUUUUGCUGAGUUUAGUGUGUGUGUGUGUAUUGUUGUGUGUGUAUUGUAGUGUGUGUAGUGUGUGUGUGUUCGUAUAUGUAUUGUAGUGUGUGUAUUGUAGUGUGUGUAUUGUAGUGUGUGUAUUGUAGUGUGUGUAUUGUAGUGUGUGUAUUGUAGUGUGUGUAUUGUAGUGUGUGUGUGUAUCUCUCCUCUCAGGGUGUUGGCUGAG